CCUACGGGGGGCAGCAGUGAGGAAUAUUGGUCAAUGGCCGGAAGGCUGAACCAGCCAUGCCGCGUGAAGGUCAGUGCCCUAUGGGCGUUAAACUUCUUUUGUGCGGGAGCAAUAAUGGUCACGUGUGGCCAGACGAGAGUACCGUACGAAUAAGCUUCGGCUAACUCCGUGCCAGCAGCCGCGGUAAUACGGGGGGGGCAAGCGUUAUCCGGAUUUAUUGGGUUUAAAGGGUGCGUAGGCUGGGAGGUAAGUCAGCGGUGAAAUGCCCCCGCGCAUCGGGGUGAAGUGCCAUUGAUACUGCCUUGAUGGAAUGCGGAUGCCGUGGGAGGAAUGUGUGGUGUAGCGGUGAAAGGCAUAGAUAGCACACAGAACACCGAUUGCGAAGGCAUCUCACGAAUCCGCGAUUGACGCUGAUGCACGAAAGCGUGGGUAUCAAACAGGAUUAGAUACCCCAGUAGUC
rnacentral:rRNA from 1 species